rnacentral:rRNA from 1 species
GGAAUCUUCCACAAUGGACGAAAGUCUGAUGGAGCAACGCCGCGUGAGUGAAGAAGGUUUUCGGAUCGUAAAACUCUGUUGUUGGAGAAGAACACGUUUGAGAGUAACUGUUCAGACGUUGACGGUAUCCAACCAGAAAGCCACGGCUAACUACGUGCCAGCAGCCGCGGUAAUACGUAGGGGGCGAGCGUUGUCCGGAAUUACUGGGCGUAAAGGGCGCGCAGGCUGUUCUGCAAGUCAGCUGUUAAAUGGUACGGCUUAACUGUAUUAUGCAGUUGAAACUACAGGACUGGAGUAAUGGAUAGGCAAGCGGAAUUCCCAGUGUAGCGGUGAAAUGCGUAGAUAUUGGGAAGAACAUCGGUGGCGAAGGCGGCUUGCUGGCCAUAAACUGACGCUGAGGCGCGAAAGCCAGGGUAGCAAACG